rnacentral:misc_RNA from 1 species
GUGGACCUGCAUUAUUUCUGGACAAAUGGUUUAAUUUCAGAGGAUUCCGAAAUAGAUUGUACUUCUCUGACAGUGGGGUACUUCAAUUUUGAAGAAUUUAUAUUUACUUACGUAGACUUUUGUGUUCUUUCUGCAAUACCAUUUCUACUCAUGAUUGGGAUGAAUAUGUUCAUUAUUCGUGUCAUACGAAGGUCGAGGGAAUUCCGAAAGUCCACCGUUAGAAACAAAAGUACAAACAAAAAACUAAAGAAAUUUGAUGUCAAACUAACAAGAAUGCUAGUCUAUACAAGCCUGUACUUUCUCUUGGCCACUUUGCCUAUAAGUGUAUAUUUCAUCGUUGAUUCUUAUCAAACAGACCUUGACGAACGCGAUUCCGCAAAAAUGGAUGUUGUUUGGACAGUUUCAUACCUAGUUCAAUUUUCUAAUUAUACAUUCAACUUUUUUCUGUAUAAUUUGACAAAUAAAAGAUUCCGAACCAAGUUCAUCGAGAUGAUCAAAUGCAAAUCAGCAGAGAAGAAAAGGAAGUCUUCGAAGAAUGAAUCUGUAUACAGCGUUCAAACGGCGGAAACAUCGCUUGGAACAGAAACUUCUUUCGGUACCGAAACUAGCAGAGUCUCAGAAGAGAUGUCAUCGGGCGAAUGAAUACCAAAAGAUGUCUGCGUUGGGCAUGGUUACAUUAUUUUCUUUCUUGGCAUAUCAGUGAAUGUUGCUGAAGUAAAACUCGUCUAAUAUCUACUCAAGAGAAAGUUACUUUAGUCUUGCCUAGAUGGUUUGAAGUUCUAGUGCAUAAUUGUUGUAUUUUGAUAAAUAUAUGCUAGAGAGACAAUUUACAGUCUUGUCUUUCGACGAAACUAUGCCCCCCCCCCCCCGGUGAAACGGUAUUUGCAUAAAAUAAUGCGUUAAAAUUCAAUAAUUUCAUGUUUCAUGAAAUUAAAAACAUAGCGAACAAGCUAUCAUUUCCCCAUAUCACCAAAAAUAACAUUUGUUAUUUUAUGUAUGCCCUAUAAUUCUAGUCAACUAUUUAUUGCUUUUGCAAAAGCACUGUUGUUUAAAAUUUGUUGUAGUAUUGUAUUUUGUUAUUAUUCUAAUAAAAUUGUAAUUAUUAUG